CCCUGAGUCUCUUCUGAAACGGACUUAGUGAAAACUUAGCUUGUUUUUGCUUGUCUUUUUGACUAAUGGAGAGCUUUUGUGGUGAAUAUUUUUGAGGUAGUAAAUUUUAAAAUAUAAGUUCAGAUUCAUGUGAGCAAGUCAACCUUCUCUUUACUUUUUUUUUCAGGUACUAACUAUUGUUUAUUGUCACUAAAUUCAUCUUGAUUCUUUUUCAGAAAUUUGUUUCUGAAAACAAAAAUAUAUCAUGCCAAAACCUCGUAAAGUCCUAUCUGAGGAACUCAAAUUCAAGUGUCUUGAUUCCAUCUUCUUGGGAAUACGAGUAAGAAAGGAAACAAAGGAUCUCGUCCUUGUCACCUUUUGUCCCAAUUGUCUGUCUUGGAUUCAUUAGACAAGCUCCGAACCAAUGGACGUGAAAUAAGUAUCUUUUAAGUUGUAUGAAAGAUGGGUGGGUUAUGAUUAUGUGAUUAAAAUAAAAUCCAGUUUGUUCUUUAUGGCACUUCCACACAAGUAGCAGAUAUAUCAUACAUAUGCAUAAAUAUACACUCAAACACAGUGGUUAAUAAAACACAUAUUUGUGGUAAGUACUAGCAAAGAAUUACAAAAUAGCAGAGAAGUUUCAGCAUAAUGAAACAAAUGUUUAUUUGAUCUAUUUGCCAGACACUUUGCUAGCUUUUUACAAAAAGACUGAGUUUUCAACACAAGGAAAGCAUAAUACAAUGCACUAUGCAAAACACAACUGCCUCUGUGCUGCAGUACGAUUCAAUCUGUGGCAGUGGCAUAGAUGGAGUGCCAUCACAGUAUAGAAGUGGGAGUGCUUACUUCAGUUGCAAUAUUUGAAAGUGUUCACAGGAGGAGUGAUAAAAUGAGCAUUUCAGCAUUUGUAGGUGGGUUUUGUUUAUGUCCAGGUACUCUUCCUCUAGUGUCUCCUCUUAAUUCCUCUUCACUUUGCCAGCUCAAGGAGGCAGAGAAGAAACACAAAGGGCAAUCUGUCACAUGAAAUUUUUUGGAAGGGGGUCAUAGGCUGAAAUAGCUAGGCACAAAGCAUGUGGAAUCAGAAUAGCGUUAAUGAGAAUGAAUUUGAACUGGGGUUUGUAGAAUAUAUAGAAUUUGGUAAAUAAUGCUGACUUCUGCACACGUUGUUAAUUGUAUUCAUUGUUUUUAGAAUUCUUUUACAUUGUAUUUCUUAACUGCAGAAGUUUUAUGAAUUCUCCAAGUUUCAAAUCAAGGCCCUUAAAAGUUUCUACAUUAGUGUCUAUUGACAUUGUCUGAGAAUCACAAUUAUUUCUGGUGCUUAAAAGAAUAUAGGAGUCAUGCCUUGACUUGGGAGAUCUUGAUUCCAGAGAUUUCUAUAAAUGAUGAGUGAUGGUAAAACCCAGAGAUUUUAAUUGGUAGUUUUUCAUGGCUCAUUCAUAUCUGACUCAGCAGUCUAUUGAAUGACAAAUCCUAGAAUAUAAUGUUGAAUUAGAUGUUAAUCUGUAACCUAAGUGACUAUGGUCUCUUCAUAAAUUUUAUUUUGGUGAUACCAAGAAGAUAGUUUUAAUUUAUGUCCUUGCUCUGAGAUCUUGAUAGUUCUAAUUAGGGGAGGAUUUCCUAUGCAAACACUUUAGGAAUAAGGAACCCAAUCUUUCUACUUAUCUGCUCAUUGUGACACACUUGCUUAGAUCAUAAAAUGUCUCCCUAGGUACGAGAGAUGAAAAAGCACACCAACACUAGACUUUUUGCACUGUGACUCAACAGAGAGCUGAAUGUACAUGUGACUUGUAUGUCAACAUUAUUCACAUGUAUCUCUAAGAUGGAUUUGAAUUCAUCAGUCAAAUUGAACUGUAUUGCUCAGAUUGCACAGAUGUAUCAGAAAGUCCCAGGAAAUCAGUACCUCUACUUAAUCCCUAUCAGGCAUUGAAGAAUUACUCUCUAUUGAGUAUCACUGCAGAUCUCCACCCCACAGAAGUCACAGAGCCUGAGUGGGUGUGUACUGUGGUCAGAGCAGUUGAUGACUUGUUUUUCUUUCACCAUUUACUAAGCACUUUUAAUGAAUAAUAUUUGAAUUGUGUGGGUGCACUCACAGGCGGUAAUGAGUUCAUCGUUUCAAAAUACAAAUAAAAUAUUUUUACUUUUGAGACGUGAUGUUCUGGAGAGUCAAAUCCCAUAGCUGUCUACUUAAUUGCAUCUUACUGGAUUGGACUUUAUUAUUAGGCAUUCCAUUAGCUAAAUACACAUGCUCACUGCAGAUGUGACUAAGAAAAGACUAAGAAAACUGUUUUCUCAUGGACAAAAGAUGUGACCUUGGAGAGAAAGGCAAAAGUUAUUCACAACAUGAUGACAUUCAAAAAUAUUUUACAGUUGAUUUUUUAUGAAUACUACAGAUACCAUACUUCCCACUUCUCCAGUCCUUAAAUGAAAGGAAAUUUGGGAAUGGAUAAUACACAAAAACUAACGUUUUAGGAUUCCUGUAAAAAUAGUAGAAUACAAAAAUGCUAUUUUUUUUAAAGAUUUAUUUAUUUACUUGAAAGUCAGAGUUACACAGAGAGAGGAGGAGAGGCAGAGAGAGAGAGAGAGAGAGAUCAAGAGAGAUCUUCCAUCCACUGGUUCACUCCCCACCUCCCCACUUGGUCACAACAGCUGGAGCUGCGCCGAUCUGAAGCUAGGAGCCAGGAGCUUCCUCUGGGUCUUUCCACACGAGUGCAGGGGCCCAAGGACUUGGGCCAUCUUCUACUGCUUUCCCAGGCCACAGCAGAGAGCUGGAUCAGAAGUGGAGCAGCUGGAUCUAGAACUGGUGUCCAUAUGGGAUGUCGGCACUGCAGGCGGCAGCUUUACCCGCUAUGCCGCAGCGCCGGCCCCAAAAAUGCUAUUCUAAAUUAUAACAUAUAAAUGUUUCAUGUAUGAAAAUCAUUGUACCUCUUCACCUUAAUAUGUGAAAAGCUUAUAACCUGUACUUCAGGUACCAUAUUUCAAUGUUUUAUAUAUAUUUUUAAAGAUUUAUUUUAUCUAUUUGAAAGAGCUACAGAGGGAGGUAGAGAGAGAGAGAGGUCUUCCAUCCACUGGUUCACUCCCCAGCAGGCAACAGGGCUGUGUUUGUGAAACUUGAGUUAGAAUCUGUUUCCUUACCUUUCCCAAUCUGUUGCUCUCUUCCUUUCUGAAAGCCAGCUAUCUUACUUAGUGUAGGGUUAACUUUAUGAUCAUUAAGUAAAUGGAAAAUAGAUCUUUGUAAAAAUUAGGAAUUGGAAUGGGAAAGGCAGGUGGAAGAAGGGUGGGAGCAUGGGCGGGAGGAGGGCAGGGUAGGAAGUAUCACUGUGUUCCUAAAUCUGUAUAUAUGAAAUACAUGAAACUUGUGUAACUUAAAUAAAGUGAAAAUAAAAAGCUAGUGAUCACUUCCCUCUAACCUUAGCUUCCAUUGUUGUCACAUCUCCUCUGAUUUUUUGCCUCUCCCUUUCCCUGUAAUGAUGUGUGUGAUUACUUCACUUCCGUCUACAUCGGCACAGUCCAUUUCUCUAUAUAAGACAACAUCUUUGGCUUGGGGUGGGGGACACAUAAUUCUGUUUACCACACUAAGGUAUACCAUGUUUCAUCCAACAAAGGAUUUUAGGAGGCUCUUUCAAUAUUUUAUGAAGGACUACAUUUAGUAGAUUAACUAUCCUUACGUGACAGGUGGAAUUCAGGUUUCCAUUUAGUAGAGUGAUCAUGUCAUACACUAACCAGUCUUAUUAUAUAUGAGAGUGCUUCAAAAAGUGUGUAGAAAAUGGAGUAAAAAUAAGUUCAUUUUGGUGCAAAAAAGCAUCCUAUAUCAGAGCAGCCCUAUGAGUCCUAGCUGCUCCAUUUCUAAUCUAACUUCCCGUUAAUCCAUCUGGGAAGGCAGCAGAAGAUGACCAAGUUCUUGGGCCCUGUCACCCACAUUACGGAUGUGGACUUUGGCCUGACCCAGACAUGGUGGUUGCAGCACCUUGGGUAGUGAACCAGCAGAUGGAAGAUACUCAGGGUGUGUGUGUGUGUGUGUGUGUGUGUGUGUGUUUCUCCCUUUCUCUGUCACUCUGCCUUUCAAAUAAAUUUUAAUACAUACAUCUUUUUUAAAAGUAUGUUGGGAGGGCAGGCGUUGAUGUACAGCAGGUCAAGCUACCACAGGGGAUACUUGUAUCCGUUAUCAAUAUUGGUUGAGUCCAGGCUACUCCACUUCCAAUCCAAGUUCCUGCUAAGACAACUGAUGAUGAUCCAAGGACUUGGGUUCCUGCCACUCACAAAGUAGAUCUGGAUGGAAUUCCUUACUCCUGGCUCCAACCUGGUCAAGGCCUGUCUGUUGUAGACAUUUAAGGAGUGGAUUUUCAGGUGUAAGAGUCUUUCUUUCUUUUCUCUCUCCUCACCUCUCUCUCUCCCAGUCUCUCAAAGUAUGUUGGAGCAAGCAUUUAGCACAGUGAUUAAGAUUAUGCUUGGUAUAUCUGUAUCGCAUAUUGAGUUGCUUGCAUAGAAGUCCUGGCUCCACUUCACAUUCCUGCUUCCUGCGAAUCCUCACUCUGAGCCUGAAGAUGGCUUAAAUUCCUAGUUUCAGCCUGGCACAGCCUCAGCUUUUGUGAGCAUUUUAAGAGUGAGUAGCGGGUGGAAGAUCUCUCUUUCUGCCCCUGUACAUUUCAAAUAAAUUUUUUAAAGAGAAAGUAAAUAAAAAAUUUCAAAUAUAUUCCUAGUAAAAAGCAAUUAUUGAGAUAAAAUUUCAAUGACUGAUUAUCACCUGUGAAAGGCACUUUAGUUAAUCUUAGCUCAGAAAAACAUCUGCCCAGCCUGAGUGGAUAACUAUCUUCUAGAAUGUUGCUACAGGAAACAUUAGAAAAAAUUCCAUAUAUUCAAAGCUUUAGAAUCCUUUUUUCUCUUGCCAUACCACAAACUGAUGCUGGCAUAGAUAAGACCGGGUGAAAUAAUUUAAUCUUAUUUAAUGUUAGAAGUAUGAUUUUUAAUUACCUGGCACAUGUAACAGAACUUUCCUCUGAUGCUACUUUAAUGUGAACAUGGUGUGUCAUGACAAGUGCAGUUUUUUUGGCCAAGGUGCAUGUAAAUUUUUUAGAUAUCUGGUCUCAAUAUGAGAGUCUUUUGAAUUUUAUAUAUCUUCUAUAUACCACCAACUGACAUAAUUUUUUGAUCUGAACCUAUUUCUACUCUAUGUCACUCAUAAAAAAAUCUCAUCAGGGGAUAAAUGUAUUUCCUGAGGCCAUUCACUGUGUAGUUGUGUCAAUCAGAGGGAAACAAAAACACCUGGAUAGAUUAAUCUAGAAACCAAAUCUACUAAUAUGAAUUGGCAGGAAAAAAUUCUCAGUUUCCCUCAGAACACUAGCUCCAUGGUAAAAGGCAUUUAGCCAAAAGCUGCGGGCCUGUAAGUUUGAAAGAGUACAGCUUUAACUAAAUGGGAGGUAUUUCCAAGAUUGCUUAUAAGACAGUGAUGUGUUUUGUGAUUUUUUAAAGUUUUAUGAUUUCGCAAGCUGUUUUGACCACAAAAUCCAUUUUCAAAGAAGACACAUUUCUAUGGAACUGUACUUUGAUACCAGGCGGCUUCACUAUCAUUUGGGAAAUAAUAAGAUACAUAAAUUCCUGUACACUCUCCUAGAUGUCCUGAAUCAUGGCCUCUUGUGAAACAAAUUGGUUUUAAAAGCCUUCCAGCUGCUUCUGAUGCAUGCUAAAGUUUACCAACCCAGCUGUGAGUCCCAUGGUGUAUGCUGUAAUCUCAUUUUGGGAUAUGGGUAAUAAAGUCAGCCACUAAUGGUAGCACUACACUAUGUCUCACAGUCCUCCGAUUCUGUGCGCUUUUGAGGGCCCAUGCCAGGUCCACGUGAGUCUGGCUCUGGUGCAUGUUGAGACAUGUUGUAGGGGAUUGCAGAUCUUCACUGAUGCUGGGGCAAGUCUAGAGGCUCCAUUUAUUAGCACUGGCCUGAGGACCAAGGCCUUUGUGCUUUAACACGUACUUUAUCACACUGGUGAGCCCUACCCUGGGCUCCAAGUCAGAGGCUUAAAUUCUAUUUUUUGUCCAACUACCUAGCUCUGUUUAGCUCAGUCAGAGGCUGGAGGAAGGGUGGUAGAGGCACAGGGGUAGGAUUGUGGGGGCCCUAUCCAGCUCUGGCUUUUAUCAUGGCAGGCCUGCUACUGGGAGUCAAGUCUAAAGUUUGUCCCUAAUUCUCUCUCUCCCUCUUCUCCCCCCCACCCCCCCACCCCCUAACAGGAGGUGAGGCAUCUUUACACACUUUGCUUUUGGAGCUGAGCAGAGAUGACCCAGAACUCUUCAAAACCACAUGUUGUCUAAAAGUGGAACCCAGAGGAUUCUGACACAAGUGCAAGGCCCAAGGACUUGGGCCAUCCUCCACUGCCUUCCCAGACCACAGCAGAGAGCUGGACUGGAAGAGGAGCAACCAGGACUAGAAGCACCCAUAUGGGAUGCCAGCGCCACAAGCGGAGGAUUCACCAAGUGCUGGCCCCCCAAAUUUGAAUUUUUUAUGGAUUUCAAUAUUAAAUGUAAUUAUGAACAUUCACUGGUCUUCCACAUUGUUUUCUCCAUAUUUAAACUAAACUAAUCAGAACUUUUUUUCAGCUCCUUGCCACUUAACUUUAAUAUCUAGUUUAGCUACUGAGUCUGCUUUUAUUGUCUUUUUUCUUGUUGGUUAGUCUUCUGAUCCUGUGUUUUGCCAUCUUUAUUAUUUUUGAUCGAUCACACACAUUGCAUAUGAAGAAACUGCAGGUGAUGUUUUGUUCAACAGAGAGGAUCUCCAUCUCCUCAGUUGGGCCAGUGUAGUAGGUGUUCUGUAGCGACCUCUUUCACCUUGCUUAUUCUUUUCUUGAGCUUGCAACUGAGAUCCUAGCUGAUCUUGUUUUUCUCAGCAUCAGGUGACUGAAGGAGAUUCCCCUCUCCACCGUACAGUUUUUCAGCUUUGAUCUUUGGCUUCCUAUUCUGUGCGACUUUACCAUUCGCUGAGAGUGUUUCAGGGGAUACUGGCCAAGUGUUUGAGACUUCCGGAUGUUCCAAUUUGGUUACACCCAUCCCAAGUGAAUCACAAAUGUCUGUUUGCUUCCUUGUACUUCAUGAAAUCUUCCCUUCAGGGGACAAGACUGGGUUCUCACUAUCUGGAUAUCUGGAAUCUGCAAGUGGCCCUAGAGCAAAAGCUAGAUGCAGCUGCCAAUUGACUGUUCUCCCUCAAGACUUUUAUAUUUAUCUUGCUCUGCACACUGGGACCUCUUCCACUGGAAGGUCUUCCUCUGAAAAGACUAGUGAGGUUUCCGCUUUGAGUAUCAGAUGUCUUUUUUGUCAGUUCUUUAUCUUCUCAUCCUACACAGCCUUACUCAUGGCGAGUAUUUUGCAGGAAGAACUUCCUUUGUGUUAAGUUCCAUCAAGUCUCUAAUACCCUUAUUCUGACAUUUUAGGAACAUAAAAAAAAUCCUACAAAUUUUCUCUAUUCUCUAUCUAAAUUUUUUUCUAAGAGGCUCAGUCUAAAUACUUGUACCGAGUCUUUGCCCCAGAUUGGCACAUGGUAUCAUGAGAGAGUAGUUGAAAAUCCUCAGGUCACCUCUGAAUGUGCUCUCUUCUCUGAACUGUAGUUCUCCUAAUGUUCAGUGAUUUUAUGUUUUUCAGUUGGCUUUCAACACACGGAUUUUAUAUUUCACUUAUCUUUUAGUUGUUCUUCAUUGGGUGCGUUGAUCUUCUAUAAGCUACCAUGUAACUCACAGAGGAAUUUUCCUUCUCUGGAUUCUUACCUCCCCAUAGCAGAAAAUUCAGCAUCCAUUUAUUGAAGAUUCUUCAAAAUUAAUGUUUCUAAUAGCUGGCUGUGAACAGCUUUAGAAUUACUUUUAUUCUGACUACCACCAUCUGCUUUUGGCCCUCAAUGGUUUAUAUGUGUCCUGUGUGCAAAUACAUUCAUCCUAACCCAAAGUUCUCAAAGGUUUUUAUCUAUUAUAGUACAAAUUCAAGUGCAAAAUGCUAUCUAAGUCUCAUUUGUCCCAAAUCAUGAAAUCUUGUACUCUUUAACAUCAAAAUGAGCUCUAAAUGGGACUGUAGUUAAAAGAGAUCCUGGGAAAAAACUUUCUAUUGGUGAACCUGCUCCUUCCGGGUCUCCCACAAGGGUGCAGGAGCCCAAGGACUUGGGCCAUCUUCUACUGCUUUCCCAGGCCACAGCAGAGAGCUGGAUAGGAAGAGGAGCAUCUGUGACUAGAAGCGGCACCCAUAUGGAAUGCCAGUACUUCAGGCCUGGGCAUUAACCCACUGUGACUCAGUGCCGGCGCCAAAAGUGACACUUUCUACACACACACACACACACACACACACACACUUUUCUCAAGAAUUUUGUGGGUUUCCUCUGUAUAUU